CAAUAGCGUAUAUUAAAGUUGUUGCAGUUAAAAAGCUCGUAGUUGGACUUCUGCGGGUGGCGGCCGGUCGUGCCCUUUUGUGGCGUGAACUUGGCUCUUUGCCGCCCGCAUCUUUGGGGAGAUUGUGCGUGGCAUUAGGUUGUCGUGCAUGGGAUUCUCAUCAUUUACUGUGAAAAAAUUAGAGUGUUUAAAGCAGGCCUUUGCCUUGAAUACAUUAGCAUGGAAUAAUAAGAUAGGACCGUUGUCUAUUUUGUUGGUUUACAGAUGUCGGUAAUGAUUAAUAGGGAUAGUUGGGGGUAUUCGUAUUCAGUUGUCAGAGGUGAAAUUCUUGGAUUUUCGGAAGACGCACGACUGCGAAAGCAUUUACCAAGGAUGUUUUCAUUA
rnacentral:rRNA from 1 species